AGCAAGGAAUUUUCGUCAAUGGGGGGAACCCUGAACGAGCAACGCCGCGUGGGCGAAGAAGUCCUUCGGGAUGUAAAGCCCUUUUCCCUGUGAAGAGAGAAAGACGGUAGCAGGGGAAUAAGCAUCGGCUAACUACGUGCCAGCAGCCGCGGUAAUACGUAGGAUGCAAGCGUUGUCCGGAAUUAUUGGGCGUAAAGAGCGCGCAGGCGGUUUUUCAAGUCAGAUGUGAAAGAGGCCGGCUUAACCGGCAAGGGUCAUUUGAAACUGGGGAACUAGAGUGCACAAGAGGAUAGCGGAAUUCCCGGUGUAGUGGUGAAAUGCGUAGAUAUCGGGAGGAACACCAGUGGCGAAGGCGGCUAUCUGGGGUGCAACUGACGCUGAGGCGCGAAGGCUAGGGUAGCAAA
rnacentral:rRNA from 1 species